rnacentral:rRNA from 1 species
UACGGAGGGUGCGAGCGUUGUCCGGAAUCACUGGGCGUAAAGGGCGCGUAGGCGGCUCAUGAAGGCUGUGGUGAAAGUCCGGGGCUCAACCUCGGAUCGGCCGUGGCGACUCGUGGGCUGGAGCACUGUAGAGGCGGGUGGAAUUCCGGGGUGUAGCGGUGGAAUGCGUAGAGAUCCGGAAGAACACCAGUGGCGAAGGCGGCCCGCUGGGCAGUGGCUGACGCUGAAGCGCGACAGCGUGGGGGAGCAA